AGAGAUCAUGGCUCAGAAUCAACGUUGGCGGCGUGCCUCAGACAUGCAAGUCGAACGAUUAAACUUUCCUUCGGGAAAGAUAUAAAGUGGCGCACGGGUGAGUAACACGUAAGUAAUCUGCCUUUGAGUGGGGAAUAACCCGGGGAAACCCGAGCUAAUACCGCAUAAUGCAGCGGCACCGCAAGGUGACAGUUGUUAAAGGAGCAAUCCGCUUAAAGAGGAGCUUGCGGCAGAUUAGCUAGUUGGUAAGGUAAUGGCUUACCAAGGCUACGAUCUGUAACCGGUCUAAGAGGACGGUCGGUCACACUGACACUGAAUAACGGGUCAGACUCCUACAGGAGGCAGCAGUCGGGAAUUUUGGGCAAUGGGCGAAAGCCUGACCCAGCAACGCCGCGUGAAGGAUGAAGUAUUUCGGUAUGUAAACUUCGAAAGAAUGGGAAGAAUAAAUGACGGUACCAUUUAUAAGGUCCGGCUAACUACGUGCCAGCAGCCGCGGUAAUACGUAGGGACCAAGCGUUGUUCGGAUUUACUGGGCGUAAAGGGCGCGUAGGCGGCAAUUCAAGUCAUCUGUGAAAUCUCCGGGCUUAACUCGGAACGGUCAGAUGAUACUGCUUUGCUAGAGUGCAGAAGGGGCAAUCGGAAUUCUUGGUGUAGCGGUGAAAUGCGUAGAUAUCAAGAGGAACACCUGAGGUGAAGACGGGUUGCUGGGCUGACACUGACGCUGAGGCGCGAAAGCCAGGGGAGCAAACGGGAUUAGAUACCCCGGGUAGUCCUGGCCCUAAACGAUGAAUACUUGUUGUCUGGAAUUAUUAUUGUUCCGGGUGCCGCCGCUAACGUUUAAAGUAUUCCGCCUGGGGAGUACGCACGCAAGUGUGAA
rnacentral:rRNA from 1 species